rnacentral:rRNA from 1 species
GCAUGGUUGUCGUCAGCUCGUGUCGUGAGAUGUUGGUUAAGUCCCGCAACGAGCGCAACCCUCGACCUUAGUUGCCAGCAUUCAGUUGGGCACUCUAAGGUGACUGCCGGCUAAAAGUCGGAGGAAGGUGGGGAUGACGUCAAAUCAUCAUGCCCCUUAUGACCUGGGCUACACACGUGCUACAAUGGGCGGUACAAAGGGUCGCGAACCCGCGAGGGGGAGCCAAUCCCAAAAAGCCGCUCUCAGUUCGGAUUGCAGGCUGCAACUCGCCUGCAUGAAGCCGGAAUCGCUAGUAAUCGCGGAUCAGCAUGCCGCGGUGAAUACGUUCCCGGGCCUU